AAUAAAAUACAGUUAAAUCUUGAUGAGCCACGCAAAGUAUUGGAAUAUAGAGCGACGUUUAUGAGCUUUACAAUAAAAAAAAUAUAAAAGCGCGAGGGAUAAUAAUAUUUAAUCUAGUAACGGGAGUAAUAGGGCUCGGAGCGCUUGCAGAAAUCAUUUAGUCUAUAAAAUUUUAAAAGAUACUGAUUCAACUUCUCAAUACACCAGAGCGGGACCAAUUUGACGAGGGCAUUAAACAUUCAUAUUUUCAUUAGGUAAAGCAAACUACUCGUGAUCACGAGCUUUUUAAUCUACCAUUCAUAGUUUUGUCCAGCUCAGGCUGCUCUGCCAUUCAUCUUAUCGGUUAUUAUUUAUUUUU